UUGGGCGUAAGCGCACGCAGGCGGUCGGCCAAGUUCACUGCGGCAGUCCCCGGCUUAACCGGGGAAGGACGAUGAACACUGGCCAACUUGAGAGCGAGAGAGGGACAUGGAACUCCAGGUGGAGCGGUGAAAUGCGUAGAGAUCUGGAAGAACACCAAAGGCGAAGGCAGUGUCCUGGCUCGUAUCUGACGCUAAUGUGCGAAAGCUAGGGGAGCGAACAGGAUUAGAUACCCUGGUAGUCCUAGCCGUAAACGAUGACCACUAGACGUACGGAGGAUCGACCUUCUGUGUGUCGCAGCCAACGCGAGAAGUGGUCCGCCUGGGGAGUACGGUCGCAAGAUUAAAACUCAAAGGAAUUGACGGGGACCCGCACAAGCAGCGGAGCGUGUGGUUUAAUUCGAUGCAACGCGAAGAACCUUACCAGGGUUUGACAUGCCCGUGAACGCGGCAGAAAUGUCGUUCCCUUCGGGGCACGGGCACAGGUGCUGCAUGGCUGUCGUCAGCUCGUGCCGUGAGGUGUUGGGUUAAGUCCCGCAACGAGCGCAACCCUCAUCGUCGGUUGCAUGUUUCCGACGAGACUGCCACGAGGAACGUGGAGGAAGGUGGGGAUGACGUCAAGUCAGCACGGCC
rnacentral:rRNA from 1 species